rnacentral:rRNA from 1 species
UUUUAUGGAGAGUUUGAUCCUGGCUCAGGAUGAACGCUGGCGGCGUGCCUAAUACAUGCAAGUCGAGCGAACAGACGAGGAGCUUGCUCCUCUGACGUUAGCGGCGGACGGGUGAGUAACACGUGGAUAACCUACCUAUAAGACUGGGAUAACUUCGGGAAACCGGAGCUAAUACCGGAUAAUAUAUUGAACCGCAUGGUUCAAUAGUGAAAGACGGUUUUGCUGUCACUUAUAGAUGGAUCCGCGCCGCAUUAGCUAGUUGGUAAGGUAACGGCUUACCAAGGCAACGAUGCGUAGCCGACCUGAGAGGGUGAUCGGCCACACUGGAACUGAGACACGGUCCAGACUCCUACGGGAGCAGCAGUAGGGAAUC